rnacentral:piRNA from 1 species
UGUCCACAGUAGUCUGAAAUGCAAGUGC